rnacentral:rRNA from 1 species
GGGUGUGAUCAUACCAGCACUAAUGCACCAGAUCCCAUCAGAACUCCGCAGUGAAGCGUGCUUGGGCGAGAGUAGUACUAGGAUGGGUGACCUCCUGGGAAGUCCUCGUGUUGCACCCC